GACGUAGGGCGCGAGCGUUGUCCGGAUUUAUUGGGCGUAAAGAGCUCGUAGGCGGCUUGUCGCGUCGUCCGUGAAAACCCACAGCUCAACUGUGGGCUUGCGGUCGAUACGGGCAGGGCUGGAGUUCGGUAGGGGAGACUGGAAUUCCUGGUGUAGCGGUGAAAUGCGCAGAUAUCAGGAGGAACACCGGUGGCGAAGGCGGGUCUCUGGGCCGAUACUGACGC
rnacentral:rRNA from 1 species